rnacentral:rRNA from 1 species
UACGUAGGGGGCAAGCGUUGUCCGGAUUUAUUGGGCGUAAAGAGCGUGUAGGCGGCCAGACAGGUCCGUUGUGAAAACUCGAGGCUCAACCUCGAGAUGUCGAUGGAAACCGUCUGGCUAGAGUCCGGAAGAGGAGUGUGGAAUUCCUGGUGUAGCGGUGAAAUGCGCAGAUAUCAGGAAGAACACCUAUGGCGAAGGCAGCACUCUGGGCCUGUUCUGACGCUGAGGAGCGAAAGCUGGGGGAGCGAACAGG